rnacentral:rRNA from 1 species
UACGGAGGGGACUAGCGUUGUUCGGAAUUACUGGGCGUAAAGAGCGCGCAGGCGGUCGUAUAAGUCGCGUGUGAAAGCCCCCGGCUCAACUGGGGAGGGUCACGCGAUACUGUUCGACUUGAAGGCAGGAGAGGGAAGCGGAAUUCCCGGUGUAGUGGUGAAACGCGUAGAUAUCGGGAGGAACACCAGUGGCGAAGGCGGCUUCCUGGCCUGUUCUUGACGCUGAGGCGCGAAAGCUAGGGUAGCAAACAGG